CUACGGGAUGCACCAGUAGGGAAUCUUAGACAAUGGGGGAAACCCUGAUCUAGCCAUGCCGCGUGAGUGAUGAAGGCCUUAGGGUUGUAAAGCUCUUUCGCUGGGGAAGAUAAUGACGGUACCCAGUAAAGAAACCCCGGCUAACUCCGUGCCAGCAGCCGCGGUAAUACGGAGGGGGUUAGCGUUGUUCGGAAUUACUGGGCGUAAAGCGCGCGUAGGCGGGCUAUUAAGUCAGGGGUGAAAUCCCGGGGCUCAACCCCGGAACUGCCUUUGAUGCUGGUAGUCUUGAGUUCGAGAGAGGUGAGUGGAAUUCCGGGUGUAGAGGUGAAAUUCGUAGAUAUUCGGAGGAACAUCAGUGGCGAAGGCGACUCACUGGCUCGAUACUGACGCUGAGGUGCGAAAGUGUGGGGAGCAAACAGGAUUAGAUACCCGCGUAGUC
rnacentral:rRNA from 1 species